CAGUCGCCGCGGUAAUACGAAGGGGGCUAGCGUUGCUCGGAAUGACUGGGCGUAAAGGGCGCGUAGGCGGCGGCCAAAGUCAGGCGUGAAAUUCCCGGGCUCAACCUGGGGGCUGCGUUUGAUACUUGGUUGCUUGAGUGGGGAAGAGGGUCGUGGAAUUCCCAGUGUAGAGGUGAAAUUCGUAGAUAUUGGGAAGAACACCGGUGGCGAAGGCGGCAACCUGGUCCUUGACUGACGCUGAGGCGCGAAAGCGUGGGGAGCAAACAGGAUUAGAUACCCCGGUAGUCCCUGUCUCUUAUAA
rnacentral:rRNA from 1 species